AUUGAACGCUGGCGGCAGGCCUAACACAUGCAAGUCGAGCGGAUGAAGGGAGCUUGCUCCUGGAUUCAGCGGCGGACGGGUGAGUAAUGCCUAGGAAUCUGCCUGGUAGUGGGGGAUAACGUCCGGAAACGGGCGCUAAUACCGCAUACGUCCUGAGGGAGAAAGUGGGGGAUCUUCGGACCUCACGCUAUCAGAUGAGCCUAGGUCGGAUUAGCUAGUUGGUGGGGUAAAGGCCUACCAAGGCGACGAUCCGUAACUGGUCUGAGAGGAUGAUCAGUCACACUGGAACUGGGACACGGUCCAGACUCCUACGGGAGGCAGCAGUGGGGUAUAUUGGGCAGUGGGCGAAAGCCUGAUCCAGCCAUGCCGCGUGUGUGAAGGAGGUCUUCGGAUUGUAAAGCACUUUAAGUUGGGAGGAAGGGCAGUAAGUUAAUACCUUGCUGUUUUGACGUUACCAACAGAAUAAGCACCGGCUAACUUCGUG
rnacentral:rRNA from 1 species